UUCUUGAUAGCUCAGUCAGUAGAGCAUGGGACACUUAAUCUCAGAGUUUUGAGUUCAAGCCCCACGUUGGGCAA